GGGUUGUGAGGUUAAGCGACUAAGCGUACACGGUGGAUGCCCUGGCAGUCAGAGGCGAUGAAGGACGUGCUAAUCUGCGAUAAGCGUCGGUAAGGUGAUAUGAACCGUUAUAACCGGCGAUUUCCGAAUGGGGAAACCCAGUGUGUUUCGACACACUAUCAUUAACUGAAUCCAUAGGUUAAUGAGGCGAACCGGGGGAACUGAAACAUCUAAGUACCCCGAGGAAAAGAAAUCAACCGAGAUUCCCCCAGUAGCGGCGAGCGAACGGGGAGCAGCCCAGAGCCUGAAUCAGUGUGUGUGUUAGUGGAAGCGUCUGGAAAGGCGCGCGAUACAGGGUGACAGCCCCGUACACAAAAAUGCACAUGCUGUGAGCUCGAUGAGUAGGGCGGGACACGUGGUAUCCUGUCUGAAUAU
rnacentral:rRNA from 1 species